rnacentral:rRNA from 1 species
UACGUAGGGGUGCGAGCGUUAAUCGGAAUUACUGGGCGUAAAGCGUGCGCAGGCGGUUCGUGAUGUCUGAUGUGAAAGCCCCGGGCUUAACCUGGGAAUGGCAUUGGAAACUAGCGGGCUGGAGUGUGGCAGAGGGGGGGUGGAAUUCCACGUGUAGCAGUGAAAUGCGUAGAGAUGUGGAGGAACACCGAUGGCGAAGGCGGGUCGCUUGGGCAGUUCCUACGUGAGGCACGAAGGUCAGGGGAGCAAACGGG